GACGUAGGGUGCGAGCGUUGUCCGGAUUUAUUGGGCGUAAAGAGCUCGUAGGCGGCUCGUCGCGUCGGUUGUGAAAACCCGCGGCUUAACUGUGGGCUUGCAGCUGAUACGGGCGGGCUAGAGUUCGGUAGGGGAGACUGGAAUUCCUGGUGUAGCGGUGAAAUGCGCAGAUAUCAGGAGGAACACCGGUGGCGAAGGCGGGUCUCUGGGCCGAUACUGACGCUGAGGAGCGAAAGCGUGGGGAGCGAACAGG
rnacentral:rRNA from 1 species